rnacentral:rRNA from 1 species
AACGAACGCUGGCGGCAGGCUUAACACAUGCAAGUCGAACGCAUCCUUCGGGGUGAGUGGCAGACGGGUGAGUAACGCGUGGGAAUCUACCCAUCUCUGCGGAAUAGCUCCGGGAAACUGGAAUUAAUACCGCAUACGCCCUUCGGGGGAAAGAUUUAUCGGGGAUGGAUGAGCCCGCGUUGGAUUAGCUAGUUGGUGGGGUAAAGGCCUACCAAGGCGACGAUCCAUAGCUGGUCUGAGAGGAUGAUCAGCCACAUUGGGACUGAGACACGGCCCAAACUCCUACGGGAGGCAGCAGUGGGGAAUAUUGGACAAUGGGCGCAAGCCUGAUCCAGCCAUGCCGCGUGAGUGAUGAAGGCCUUAGGGUUGUAAAGCUCUUUCACCGAUGAAGAUAAUGACGGUAGUCGGAGAAGAAGCCCCGGCUAACUUCGUGCCAGCCGCCGCAGUAA